AGUGAACGCUGGCGGUAGGCCUAACACAUGCAAGUCGAACGGCAGCACAGUAAGAGCUUGCUCUUACGGGAGGCGAGUGGCGGACGGGUGAGGAAUACAUCGGAAUCUACUUUUUCGUGGGGGAUAACGUAGGGAAACUUACGCUAAUACCGCAUACGACCUACGGGUGAAAGCAGGGGAUCUUCGGACCUUGCGCGAUUGAAUGAGCCGAUGUCGGAUUAGCUAGUUGGCGGGGUAAAGGCCCACCAAGGCGACGAUCCGUAGCUGGUCUGAGAGGAUGAUCAGCCACACUGGAACUGAGACAAGGUCCAGACUCCUACGGGAGGCAGCAGUGGGGAAUAUUGGACAAUGGGCGCAAGCCUGAUCCAGCCAUACCGCGUGGGUGAAGAAGGCCUUCGGGUUGUAAAGCCCUUUUGUUGGGAAAGAAAAGCAGCAGGUUAAUACCCCGCUGUUCUGACGGUACCCAAAGAAUAAGCACCGGCUAACUUCGUG
rnacentral:rRNA from 1 species